UUUACGGAGAGUUUGAUUCUGGCUCAGAACGAACGCUGGCGGCGUGGAUAAGACAUGCAAGUCGAACGCUGAUCUGCCGGUAGCAAUAUUGGCGGGUCGGAGUGGCGCAAGGGUGCGUAACACGUGGGUCAUCUGCCGUGAAGACUGGGAUAACUCGCUGAAAGGCGAGCUAAUACCGGAUGUGAACGCGAGUUCAAAGCUGGGGACCGCAAGGCCUGGCGCUUCACGAUGAGCCCGCGGCCUAUCAGCUAGUUGGCGGGGUAACGGCCCACCAAGGCGAAGACGGGUAGCUGGUCUGAGAGGACGACCAGCCACACUGGAACUGAGACACGGUCCAGACACCUACGGGUGGCAGCAGUCGAGAAUUUUUCUCAAUGGGCGAAAGCCUGAAGGAGCGACGCCGCGUGGGGGAUGAA
rnacentral:rRNA from 1 species